AACUCUGUCUCACAGCGGUAUCUCUGAGUAAAAACAAAUAAGUCAAAACUUUCAACAACGGAUCUCUUGGUUCUGGCAUCGAUGAAGAACGCAGCGAAAUGCGAUAAGUAAUGUGAAUUGCAGAAUUCAGUGAAUCAUCGAAUCUUUGAACGCACAUUGCGCCCGCUAGUACUCUAGCGGGCAUGCCCGUUCGAGCGUCAUUUCAACCCUCAAGCCCUGCUUGGUGUUGGGGCCCUACGGCUGCCGUAGGCCCUGAAAGGAAGUGGCGGGCUCGCUGCAACUCCGAGCGUANUAACUCAUUAUCUCGCUAGGGAGGCGUGGCGGUGCUCCGGCCGUUAAAGACCAAAUCUUUAACCAAGGUUGACCUCGGAUCGGGUAGGAAUACCCGCUGAACUUAAGCAUAUCAAUAAGC
rnacentral:rRNA from 1 species